GCAACGAGCGCAACCCUUAUCCCCAGUUGCCAUCAGGUAAAGCUGGGAACUCUGGGGAGACUGCCGGUGAUAAACCGGAGGAAGGCGGGGAUGACGUCAAGUCCUCAUGGCCCUUACAUCCCGGGCUACACACGUGCUACAAUGGCAGGUACAGAGGGCUGCGAAGCCGCGAGGUGGAGCGAAUCCCAGAAAACCUGUCUCAGUCCGGAUUGAAGCCUGCAACUCGACUUCAUGAAGGCGGAAUCGCUAGUAACCGCGAAUCAGCAGGUCGCGGUGAAUACGUUCCCGGGCCUU
rnacentral:rRNA from 1 species